rnacentral:rRNA from 1 species
UAGGGAAUCUUCCGCAAUGGACGCAAGUCUGACGGAGCAACGCCGCGUGAGUGAAGAAGGAUUUCGGUUCGUAAAACUCUGUUGUUAGAGAAGAACAGCGCAUAGAGUAACUGUUAUGCGUGUGACGGUAUCUAACCAGAAAGCCACGGCUAACUACGUGCCAGCAGCCGCGGUAAUACGUAGGUGGCAAGCGUUGUCCGGAUUUAUUGGGCGUAAAGCGAGCGCAGGCGGUCAAUUAAGUCUGAUGUGAAAGCCCCCGGCUCAACCGGGGAGGGUCAUUGGAAACUGGUUGACUUGAGUGCAGAAGAGGAGAGUGGAAUUCCAUGUGUAGCGGUGAAAUGCGUAGAUAUAUGGAGGAACACCAGUGGCGAAGGCGACUCUCUGGUCUGUAACUGACGCUGAGGUUCGAAAGCGUGGGUAGCAAACAGG